CAGUAGCCGCGGUAAUACGAAGGGUGCAAGCGUUAAUCGGAAUUACUGGGCGUAAAGCGUGCGUAGGCGGUUUGUUAAGUCUGUUGUGAAAUCCCCGGGCUCAACCUGGGAAUGGCAAUGGAUACUGGCAAGCUAGAGUGUGUCAGAGGAUGGUGGAAUUCCCGGUGUAGCGGUGAAAUGCGUAGAGAUCGGGAAGAACACCGGUGGCGAAGGCGGCGACCUGGUCCAUAACUGACGCUGAGGCGCGAAAGCGUGGGGAGCAAACAGGAUUAGAUACCCCAGUAGUCCCUGUCUCUUAUAC
rnacentral:rRNA from 1 species